AAAUUGAAGAGUUUGAUCAUGGCUCAGAUUGAACGCUGGCGGCAGGCCUAACACAUGCAAGUCGAGCGGUAGCACAGAGAGCUUGCUCUCGGGUGACGAGCGGCGGACGGGUGAGUAAUGUCUGGGAAACUGCCUGAUGGAGGGGGAUAACUACUGGAAACGGUAGCUAAUACCGCAUAACGUCGCAAGACCAAAGUGGGGGACCUUCGGGCCUCAUGCCAUCAGAUGUGCCCAGAUGGGAUUAGCUAGUAGGUGGGGUAAUGGCUCACCUAGGCGACGAUCCCUAGCUGGUCUGAGAGGAUGACCAGCCACACUGGAACUGAGACACGGUCCAGACUCCUACGGGAGGCAGCAGUGGGGAAUAUUGCACAAUGGGCGCAAGCCUGAUGCAGCCAUGCCGCGUGUAUGAAGAAGGCCUUCGGGUUGUAAAGUACUUUCAGCGAGGAGGAAGGCGUUAAGGUUAAUAACCUUGGCGAUUGACGUUACUCGCAGAAGAAGCACCGGCUAACUCCGUGCCAGCAGCCGCGGUAAUACGGAGGGUGCAAGCGUUAAUCGGAAUUACUGGGCGUAAAGCGCACGCAGGCGGUCUGUCAAGUCGGAUGUGAAAUCCCCGGGCUCAACCUGGGAACUGCAUUCGAAACUGGCAGGCUAGAGUCUUGUAGAGGGGGGUAGAAUUCCAGGUGUAGCGGUGAAAUGCGUAGAGAUCUGGAGGAAUACCGGUGGCGAAGGCGGCCCCCUGGACAAAGACUGACGCUCAGGUGCGAAAGCGUGGGGAGCAAACAGGAUUAGAUACCCUGGUAGUCCACGCCGUAAACGAUGUCGACUUGGAGGUUGUGCCCUUGAGGCGUGGCUUCCGGAGCUAACGCGUUAAGUCGACCGCCUGGGGAGUACGGCCGCAAGGUUAAAACUCAAAUGAAUUGACGGGGGCCCGCACAAGCGGUGGAGCAUGUGGUUUAAUUCGAUGCAACGCGAAGAACCUUACCUACUCUUGACAUCCAGAGAACUUAGCAGAGAUGCUUUGGUGCCUUCGGGAACUCUGAGACAGGUGCUGCAUGGCUGUCGUCAGCUCGUGUUGUGAAAUGUUGGGUUAAGUCCCGCAACGAGCGCAACCCUUAUCCUUUGUUGCCAGCGAUUCGGUCGGGAACUCAAAGGAGACUGCCAGUGAUAAACUGGAGGAAGGUGGGGAUGACGUCAAGUCAUCAUGGCCCUUACGAGUAGGGCUACACACGUGCUACAAUGGCAUAUACAAAGAGAAGCGACCUCGCGAGAGCAAGCGGACCUCAUAAAGUAUGUCGUAGUCCGGAUUGGAGUCUGCAACUCGACUCCAUGAAGUCGGAAUCGCUAGUAAUCGUAGAUCAGAAUGCUACGGUGAAUACGUUCCCGGGCCUUGUACACACCGCCCGUCACACCAUGGGAGUGGGUUGCAAAAGAAGUAGGUAGCUUAACCUUCGGGAGGGCGCUUACCACUUUGUGAUUCAUGACUGGGGUGAAGUCGUAACAAGGUAACCGUAGGGGAACCUGCGGUUGGAUCACCUCCUUACCUUAAAGAA
rnacentral:rRNA from 1 species